AAAUAUUUAUUAAUGUAGAAAAAUAAUCUUACCAUUCCCUGCUCCAUCAUUUCGGACAUCUCAAAGUACACGUACAAUGAUGGAUUAUUUUUUACACACUCGCAUACAUGUUUGGAGGUGUUCUUUUAUCAAGGUCGUCUAACGAAGUUUCAUCGAACGCAAAAGGAAACAAAAGACGUAUUUUAAAAAGACGGCAAACUCGUUACGUCGUGCUACCUCUUUCAUUCGACGAAUUUAAUCACGAACUCGGAAGGAUCAUAACACGAUGACUUUCAAUAGAUCCGAGUAAUGACUUCGAGUACUUCUUCGGGAUUUCCGUUGGUGAUGUAGUUGUUGAUGUCGGCGUUGCAAAGGACUUCCAUGGGAUACAACUUGCAAUCGAUAUGCUUUGACGGUAGACAAAGGUUGCCCUGCGUGAAAGAAGAAGGGUUGUGUUGUGUCGCGUGCAUACUGUAGCUAAUAUAUGUAUAUAUGGAUUGUAAAUGUAUACUGCAGCAGGUAUAGGUUCAGGAUAAGAAAAGAAAUUGUGAUUUAAUUAGAUAUCAAUUUUCAAUUCAUUUGUUCGGCAAUGCUUACGUCAUUGCACUAUUUAUAUAUAUAAAAGGAUGAAAUAAUUCAGUGACAGCACCCUUUUUACUUUAACGGCCUCGAGAGAACUAUAUAAACAAGGUGUAUCGACGAUCGAACAUAUCAUUUAUUUAGAGAUCGGCUUAAAAAUGUAUUUUAUCGAUCGAUUAAUAAACGGAAUCAAAUAAUUCUU